rnacentral:tmRNA from 1 species
CCCUUUGCAUCCUGACGCAACGCCCUGUAUACUGAUGCUGCCGGUUCGUCCGGCUAUGGCGCUAAACCUUAUGUGGAAUAAGCGUUGCGGACCCGGGGGCAGUACCCGGCGCCUCCACCAUUUCCCGUGCUUUCGUGGAAGCCGGACCGUGGGGGCGAAACAGGAUCGACGCGCGUAGUAAAGAUAUAAGUUGUUCCCGGCAUGGCUCCACCGUUAUCGGGCUAUUUGCAACAGUUGCCAACGACAACUUUGCUCCGGUCGCCGUCGCUGCGUAAUGCGGUAAGGUAACCGACCUUAAAGCCCUUGUUCUUUAGCAGAAUAAGGCGGGGCUCGGGGGCGCCUGGCAACAGAAGCCCCCACU